rnacentral:rRNA from 1 species
AGAACGAACGCUGGCGGCAUGCCUAACACAUGCAAGUCGAACGUGAUCCAGGCUUCGGCCUGGUGAAAGUGGCAGACGGGUGAGUAACGCGUGGGAACCUGCCCUGUGGUAGGGAAUAACCGUGGGAAACUGCGGCUAAUACCCUAUGAGUCCUUCGGGAGAAAGAUUUAUCGCCAUAGGAGGGGCCCGCGUCGGAUUAGGUAGUUGGUGGGGUAACGGCCUACCAAGCCUUCGAUCCGUAGCUGGUCUGAGAGGAUGAUCAGCCACACUGGGACUGAGAUACGGCCCAGACUCCUACGGGAGGCAGCAGUGGGGAAUAUUGGACAAUGGGGGGCAACCCUGAUCCAGCAAUGCCGCGUGGAUGAUGAAGGCCUUCGGGUUGUAAAGUCCUUUCGGCGGGGAAGAUGAUGACGGUACCCGCAGAAGAACGCCCCGGCUAACUUCGCGCCAGCAGCCGC